AAGUCGUAACAAGGUUUCCGUAGGUGAACCUGCGGAAGGAUCAUUAAUGAAUUCACUAUGGAGUUGUUGCUGGCCUCUAGGGGCAUGUGCACGCUUCACUAGUCUUUCAACCACCUGUGAACUUUUGAUAGAUCUGUGAAGUCGUCUCUCAAGUCGUCAGACUUGGUUGCUGGGAUUUAAACGUCUCGGUGUGACUACGCAGUCUAUUUACUUACACACCCCAAAUGUAUGUCUACGAAUGUCAUUUAAUGGGCCUUGUGCCUUUAAACCAUAAUACAACUUUCAACAACGGAUCUCUUGGCUCUC
rnacentral:misc_RNA from 1 species